CCUCCUCCCCAGGCUGCUCCUCGCCAGGCCAAGCCAGGUCCCAAUUCUUCCUCAGCCUCUGCUCCCCCACCCUGUAACCCUUUUAUCACCUCCCCUCCUCACACCCGGUCCAGCUUACAGUUUCGUUCAGCAACUAGCCCUCCCCGACCUGUCCAGCAAUUUCCUCUUAAAAAAGGUGGCUGGAGCUAAAGGCAUAGUCGAGGUUAAUGCUCCUUUUUCUUUAUCCGACCUCUCCCAAAAUCAGUUAGCAUUUAGGCUCUUUUUCAUCAAAUAUGAAAAACCCAGCCCAGUUCAUGGCUCAUUCGGCAGCAACCCUGAGAUGCUUUAUAGCCCUAGACCCUAAAAGGUCAAAAGGCCAUCUUAUUCUCAAUAUACAUUUUAUUACCAAAUCCGCUCCUGACAUUAAAUAAAACUCCAAAAAUUAAAUUCCGGCCCUCAAACCCCACAAACAAGACAUAAUUAACCUCGCCUUCAAGGUGUACAAUAAUAGAGUAGAGGAAGCCAAGUAGCAAUAUAUUUCUGAGUUGCAAUUCCUUGCCUCCACUGUGAAAGAAACCCCAGCCACAUCUCCACACACAAGAACUUCCAAACGCCUGAACUGCAGCUGCCAAGGUUUACUCCGGAAAUCUGGCCACUGGGCCAAGGAAUGCCCACAGCCCGAGAUUCCCCCUAAGCCGUGUCCUGUCUGUGCGGGACCCCACUGAAAAUCGGACUCUUCAACUCACCUGGCAGCCGCUUCCAGAUCCCCUGGAACUCUGGCCCAAGGCUCUCUGAGUGACUCCUUCCCAGAUCUUCUCGGCUUAGCAGCUGAAGACUGACACUGCCCAAUCGCCUUGGAAGCCUACAGGACAAUCACAGAUGCUCUGGGUAACUCUCACAGUGGAGGGGACGUGAGUAAAAAUGGUACAGCUCAGGCCAUGGAUUCAGAGGGUGCAAGCCCCAAGCCUUGGCAGCUUCCAUGUGGUGUUGAGCUUGCAGGUACACAGAAGUCAGGAAUUGAGGUUGGGAACCUCCACCUAGAUUUCAGAGGAUGUAUGGAAAUGCCUGGACGUUCAGGCGGAAGUUUGCUGCAAAGGUGGUCCCUCAUGGAGAACCUCUGCUAGGGCAGUGCAGAAGGUAAAUGUGGGGUUGGAGUCCACACACAGAGUCCCAAAUGGGGAACUCUCUACUGGAGCUGUGAGAGAAGGCCCACUGUCCUUCAGACCCCAAAAUGGUAGGUCCACUGAUCCACCUGUAAAGGCCACAGACACUCAGUGCCAGCCAGCUAAGCAGCCAGGAAUGGGGCUGUACCCUUUGAAGCCACAGGGGCUGAGCUUCCCAAGGCUGUUGGAGUCCACCUCUUACAUCAGUGUGACCUGGAUGUGACACAUGGAGCCAAAAGAGAUCAUUUUGCAACUGUAAGAUUUGGUGAUGCCCUGUUGAAGUUUGGACUUUCAUGGGGCCUAUAGCCCCUUUGUUUUGGCCAACUUCUCCCAUUUGGAAUGGGCAUAUUUACCCAAUGCCUGUACCCCCAUUUUAUCUAAAAAGUAACUGACUUGCUUUCAGAUUUACAGGCUCAUAGGCAGAAGGGACUUGCCUUGUUUCAGAUGAGACUUUUGACUUGAACUUUGGGAUUAAUGCUGGAAUGAGCUAAGACUUUGGGGGACUGUUGAAAAGGCAUGAUUGUGUUUGUAAGGACAUGACAUUUAGGAGGGACCAGGGUUGGAAUGAUAUGGUUUUGCUCUGUGUCCCCACUGAAAUCUCAUCUUGAUUUGUAAUUCCCAUAAUCCCCACAUAUCAUGGGAGGGACCUAGUGGGAGGUAAUUGAAUCCUGGGAGCAGUUCCCUCAUGCUGUUCAUGUGAUAGUGAGUGAGUUCGCACAAGAACUGAUGGUUUUAUAAGGGGCCUUUCCCCACUUCACUUGGCACUUCUCUUCCCUGCCACUAUGGGAGGAGACCACCCCUCAUAUUGUCUUAUGCCCAAUUUCUGCCUCCAAAGAAAGAAGAAGUAAAAACUAAAAGGCAGAAAUGAAAUCCAUAGGCAGGCAGCCCGACGCCACAUCCUGGGCCUGGUAGUUAAAGAUCGACCCCUGACCUAAUCAGUUAUGUUAUCUAUAGAGUACAGACAUUGUAUAGAAAAGCACUGUGAAAAAUCCCUGUCCUUUUCUGUUCUGUUCUAAUUACCAGUGCAUGCAGCCCCCAGUCACGUACCCCCUGCUUGCUCAAUCGAUCACGACCCUCUCACGUGGACCCCCUCACGUGGACCACCUUAGAGUUGUAAGCCCUUAAAAGGGACAGGAAUUGCUCACUCGGGGAGCUCAGUUUUUGGAGAUGUGAGUCUGCCGAUGCUCCCAGCUGAAUAAAGCCCU
rnacentral:lncRNA from 10 species